ACGAACGCUGGCGGCGUGCUUAACACAUGCAAGUCAGGGGGUGGGGCAACCCAUCACCGGCGAACGGGUGCGUAACACGUGAGCGACCUGCCUUCGAGUGGGGGAUAGCCGGCCCAACGGCCGGGUAAUACCGCAUACGUCACCGGGGGGGCAUCCUCUUGGUGAGAAACCACUUGGGCUCGGAGAGGGGCUCGCGGCCUAUCAGCUAGUUGGCGAGGUAACGGCUCACCAAGGCGAUGACGGGUAGCUGGUCUGAGAGGAUGGCCAGCCACAUUGGGACUGAGAGACGGCCCAGACUCCUACGGGAGGCAGCAGUGGGGAAUCUUGCGCAAUGGCCGAAAGGCUGACGCAGCGACGCCGCGUGGGGGAUGAAGGCCUUCGGGUUGUAAACCCCUGUUGCCCGGGACGAACAGCGCCAUUCGUGGCGCCUGACGGUACCGGGUGAGGAAGCACCGGCUAACUCUGU
rnacentral:rRNA from 1 species